AUUCAUGUAUUCUAAGUUAUAAGAGCUGAAUUCUUACUUCAGUAAUGUGAUUUUCACCGUGGGUU
rnacentral:tRNA from 1 species